AUUACCCACACCUGUAUCCCAUCAGCUAUCUGCACACCUGGUCCUGAUCAUCAUCUCUCCUCUUCAUAAGCCCGGACCUGACAUCCAUUCCCUGCCGGAUCGUUAGCCAUGAACAUUACUCACCCGGAUCAUUUACCCCAUUCCCGCCUGGUCGUCGGAGGAUUCCGCUACCCCAGUGGAUCCACCUAUUUACUCCCAUCAACUCACCACCGCUGCCCGCUACGCCACCUGGAUAUAUCUACCCAUUCACAUUCACUUGUAAAUAAAUACUCACCUUCUUCCUAC